CGCUGCAGCCCAGACUCUGAGAGGUCAGAGGCCAGCAAAUGACGCGGCCAGCGUUCUUUUGCCGCUUCUAACUCUUCUUGCAGCAUCUCCAGCGUCUUCUGACAGAAUCACAAUGACUCUGCAGGCCACCCAAAUCUCAGGGCAGCAAGGACACCACCAUGAGCUUGCUGACCGUGUAUCUGCAGUUAAAUCUGAGAACCAGUAGACGGCUGUGAAGUAAAAACCUUCUGUCUUACAUCUGUCUCAUAAAAACACAAACAGAAAAAGCAGUAAGACCUUUGAGACUUAGACUGAAAACUCUAUCAACACUGCAAAGAGUGACGGAAAAGUUAAAAUACCACUAUGGCCUAUAGAAAAGUGAACCUUGAUUUGAGGUUUAGCAACAAAAUAGGUAUCUAUUAAUGUUUCAGAUAUAACCAAACUGCAAAAUCAGUGUCACAUGUUAAACUAAACUCUUAUGCAAAUACAGCAAGAAUAUGGUUUAUGUUUACUUAGCUUAUGUUUGCAUAGCUUCAGCUGAUUAUAAUAAUCAGUUGAGUAUGAAGAAUAUAUCUUCCUAAAUAAUAAAUUGGCUGACUUUAAUUUUCAAAUGAACUAAAAUAAGAGAAAUAAUUUUAAAAAGUAAUUAGAUUUACUUAGGAUUAAGUAAUUUAGUUGUGGUUUUUUUGUGCAAAGGUUUGCAACCAUUCCUUUAAAAUUGAUAGGUAAUGUUAAAAAAAUAUAAAAACUUUUUAUAAAAUAGGGCUUCAGGCUUGGUGUGGUCUCAGCACUUGGGAGUGUGUUCAAGGUCGGCCUUGUUUACAUACUGAAUUCCUGGCCAGCCAGGGCUACACAGUGAGACCCUGUCUCAAGAAAAGGGAAGGGGUUCAUGUGUCCUAGACUGGCCUCAAACUUACUAUGCAGCUGAGGAUAACCUUGAAGAUUUGAUCUUCCUGCCUCCUACAUGCUAAGGUUACAGAAAGUUACUCCACUUUCCUGGACCCAGGAAUUGACCAAGGGUAGACACACAACUUCGGCAAAGAGAGUAAAGGAGAACCUGAGGCCUGGCCUGAAGGUGCUGAGAGACAUUUGAUUCUGGAGACUGCUAAGUUAAACCAACA